rnacentral:ncRNA from 1 species
UCCGGUGCCUCAAAACGUAGAGCGCGGAGGGGAUAAUAGGGAAACAGGUGAGAAUCCUGUACGAUCUCGUCACUGUCAUAGGCGAGUGUGCGGCAUAGCAAUCAUCGCAGUCACUGAUGCUCCAUCGGGAAGACUGCCGCACGCGCAAAACCUUAAGUCAGGAAACCUGCCGGGUAUGGU